rnacentral:rRNA from 1 species
AGAGUUUGAUCAUGGCUCAGAUGAACGUUGGCGGCGUGGAUUAGGCAUGCAAGUCGUACGCAUAGCUUCGGCUAUGAGUGGCGCAAGGGUGAGUAAUGCGAAGGUAACCAACCCUGGUGUUGGGCAUAGCCGCGGGAAACUGCGGGUAAUUCCCAGCGACGUCACGAGAUGGCAUCAUCUUGUGACCAAAGGUGUGAUUCCGCUCUAGGACGGGCCUUCGUGGUAUUAGGUAGUUGGUGAGGUAACGGCUCACCAAGCCGACGAUGCCUACCGGGUGUGAGAGCAUGACCCGGCACACUGGAACUGAGACACUGUCCAGACACCUACGGGUGGCUGCAGUCGAGAAUCUUCGGCAAUGGGCGAAAGCCUGACCGAGCGACGCCGCGUGAGGGAUUGAAGGCCUUCGGGUUGUAAACCUCUUUCGUAGAGGAGGAAGGGGCCGUGAAGAACGGUCUUUGACCUAUUCUAGGAAGAAGCUUGGGCUAAGUUCGUG